rfam:Trichobilharzia regenti genome assembly, scaffold: TRE_scaffold0000999
AGUUAGCUGACGAGUCCUGAAUAGGACGAAGCGCGCAUCCUGACU